rnacentral:rRNA from 1 species
UAGGGAAUAUUGGGCAAUGGUCGAGAGACUGACCCAGCCAUGCCGCGUGCAGGAAGACGGCCUUAUGGGUUGUAAACUGCUUUUAUACAGGGGUAACAGCGGGUACGUGUACUCGUUUGAAAGUACUGUAAGAAUAAGGAUCGGCUAACUCCGUGCCAGCAGCCGCGGUAAUACGGAGGAUCCAAGCGUUAUCCGGAUUUAUUGGGUUUAAAGGGUGCGCAGGCGGACUGGUAAGUCAGCGGUGAAAUCUCUCAGCUUAACUGAGGAACUGCCGUUGAUACUGCCAAUCUCGAGUUUAGACGGCGUAGGCGGAAUAUGUCAAGUAGCGGUGAAAUGCUUAGAUAUGACAUAGAACACCGAUAGGGUAGCCAGCUUACGAGACUAAUACUGACGCUCAAGCACGAGAGCGUGGGGAUCAAACAGGAUUAGAUACCCUGGUAGUCCACGCAGUAAACGAUGAUCACUCGUUGUCGGCGAUAAACAGCCGGCGGCCAAGAGAAAUUGAUAAGUGAUCCACCU